AGAAUCAAUUUUAUUCAGGGAAACAUAUAUAAACAACAUCCCCACUUGUCUUAGUUAGGGUUUUACUGCUGUGAACAGACACCAUGACCAAGGCAAGUCUUAUAAAGGACAACAUUUAAUUAGGGCUGGCUUACAGGUUCAGAGGUUCACUCCUGUAUCAUCAAGGUGGGAACAUGGCAGCAUCCAGGCAGGAGGAGCUGAGAGUUCUACAUCUUCAUCUGAAGGCUGCUAGCAGUAUAUGAACUUCCAGGCAGCUAGGAUGAGGGUCUUAAAGCCCACACACACAGUGACACACUUAUUCCAGCAAGGCCACACCUUCUAAUCUCUAGUCAGGAGACACAUAGGUGGUCCAAAUGUAUACAUGCAAGCAAAAUACACAGAGAAAAGACAAUCUCUUUUGCUUCUCUAUUUUAAUUAUGGAACUGGAGAUAUAGCUCAGUGGUUAAAAGUACUGGCUGCUCUUCCAGAGGACCUGAGUUUAAUUCCCAGCACCUACAUAGUGUGGAACACCCCUCUACCAAGUUUCAGGGGAUUCAGUACCGUCUUCUAGCCUCUGUGGGCAACAGACACCCACUAGGUGUAUAGACAUAAAUUCAAGCAGGAGACCUAAAAUAUCUUAAUAUCAUAAAUGAUCUUAAAGCUCAAUGAUUUGGGUUCAAUCCCCGGAUCCCACAAGGUAGUAGUAAAGAAUCAACUCCUGAAGACAGUCUUCUGAUCACCACCAUGGGCGCGCCUUGGCACACUAACCCACAAAGACAAUAAAAUAGCCUCCUCAUUUAAGGCCUGCAGUGAAAUCACACAGGAACCACAAAGAUGGGAAAGAGGGUAGAAAGAGUUUCAAGUUCAAAGUGACCACAUCAGAAAGGGCACACCAGGGCCGGAGUUGGUUCAGCAGCUUAAAUGGUCACGAUAGACUAUCACAUUGAGAAAAUGAAUUUCAACUUCAGAAGUAUUGGUAACUGUGAGUCAAGCUUGAACAAACCAGAUAGGGGCAGGCCAGGUAUUUUAUAUGCUUUAGUAUAAAAGAUGCCUGGUUGUACUGAGUUGGCCCGCCAACUCCUGCAACUCUUGGGGGUGGAGGUGAAUCCCUGGUUGCUGUUGGAGCGGGAUAGGGAUGAAGGUGGAAUGCUCCUUAGUACCGCAUCCUGGGUGGUCCCGGAAAACUGCCACGAGCUUCUGGGAGCCUCAACUUUCGCAAAGGCUUCUGGGAUCGGGCCCGGUGUGGCUACUGCCGCUACUGUUGCUGGUGCUCCCGGAGGCCAUAGAGCUGUGCCGGUCAGUUUCCCAGAAGAGGACAAAGCGAGAUGUCCCAGCGGGUCUUUCCGGCUCAAGGUACAGCAUUCAGCUCUGCUACCACAAAUAUGAUUGCCUUAAAGAAGACUGAAAUUGUGUCCUGUGCAGGCCUGACUGUUUUCACUUCAUACAAGUUUCUUCUCUGCUGUUGCAAAUGGAUGACGAGUUUCCUUCCUUUGGUGUGGCAGGCUACCUGAUCUUCACCUAUCCAGAGGAGUUUUGAUUUGAUGGAGCCCCUUAGAUUGGUGUAUGCACUUAUUCCUUUUACGAUCUCAAGCAUGGUAACAAGGAUAGUGACCUUAAGGACUGCCAUCCAGCAUUUGGUAGAUACCCAGUGCUGUCAACAUGGAGUUUCCACAAUGUGUAAGGUUUUCAAGUGUGACUAAGGAAUGGAAGUAUUGGGCUAAGGAAUGAAUACUUCUGUUCCUGUCCAAGGCUGCUGUGGGAGCCAUGCGGUGCUGUGCCUGCUGUGUCAUUACCAGGCAUAGAAGAAGCAAGUGGAAAUGAAUCACAAAGACUUGCUCCAAGGCUACAGAAAGUCCAUGAAUCCAGGCACUGGGUAUAAUUGAUUGGAUUCCCUGAAAAAAGACCCAGAGAAGCCGCUGCAUGGAGCUGGAAAGAUGAAGCCCAAGUUACAGCAGAGGACCAGGAUAUUGGAGAGUCUAAAACUGCUUAUCCACUGAGGAAAGCUGCAAGAACACAGUGGAACAAGCCCAAGACAAAAGUGACAUGUGCUGUAGGUGGCAGAACUGGAGUGCUGGUACUACCCAAAUUUAGAGCUCAGAUGAUCCCGUCAUGAGUGCUGUAUGCUAGCUAUGGAGCUAUAGGAUUAGGUGUUGGUUGUAACUGGGGUUUUGUUUUGCUUUUUAAUCCAGCCUUCCUUGUUAUUCUCCCAUUCGCUCCUAUCUGGGGUGGGAACGUUUCUUUGUUUUUGUGUAUUAGAAGUGUUCAACUUGUGUCUUCAUGUCAUAGGUGCUCAAAUGAAGAGAUGGUCUGCAGUCUCAGAAGACACUGAUUUUUUUUUCAGAGCUGAGGACCGAACCCAGAGACUGAUUUUUUGAGCAGAGCUGAAACUGUUAAAGAGAGAGACCAAAUGAGACUUUAUGAACCAGGGUAGAAUAACUAAGGUGAUGUUUGAUGUCAGGCUUGCAGGAAGUAGAAUUAUAAUGAUUAAUUUUCAUUGCCAAUUUAAUAGGAUUUAGAAUCACCUAGGAGACAGCUCUGUGCUUGUAUGUAAGUGCAGAUCUAGACAGAUUUACCAUAGAAGGGAAAUUUCCCCUUAAAUGUUGUGACAUCCUAUGAACUGGGGUCCCAGACAGAAUAAAAAGGGGAACUGAGAGAAGUACCAGCAUUCAUCUCUUUAUGCUUCCUUCUGCCAUCUACCAAGUGUCAGGUGAGCGCAUUUCUGUUGGUCUGUUUAUGAGUUCUCUGUUCAUUUCUGGUUUAUGUCUUACGCUACCCCAGCAGCAAAUCUCAAUAGCCUUUGUAUAAUAAACAUUAAUAUUUGGUAGAGUGA